CACCAGCCUAAAGGAAAAACUUCGUUGUGGUGAAGGUGAGGGAGCCCUGGCCCAGGCUGCCCAGGGAGGGUGUGGAGGCUCCUCUCGGAAGGUUUCCAAACCCGCAUGGACACGUUCCUGUGCCCCCUGAGCCAGGGGAAGCUGCUGUAGCAGGGGCUGGGGCUGCAGCAGCUCUGCAGGGCCUUUCCAGCCCCCACCAUUCUUGGAUUGUGUGAUAUGGGAUAUAUACUCUUAAAUACCCUCGGGCACUGAGCCUCCACCAUGCAGACCUCUCCUGAAGGCUUUGUGCUCUUCUAACUGAACCCUGCUGCUGCUGUCACCACUGGGAUCAACACCUGCAAGGCACCUCAAGUACUCAGAUGCUAAAGAUGUGGGGUAAUGUUUGAUGACAACAGGCAUUUCGUGGCCACACGCUGUGCUGGAAGGGUGGUUUCUCAGUCUGCAAGCCAUGAGGAUGGCUGUCCCCAUCCAGCACACCACUGCUUUGCCCUCUCACACUUGUCCCACAGCCUCAGCACAGGGUCUCCACCUGUGCCUACAGAUGGAAGCAGAGCUUUGCACAUUAAAGGACUUGAGGGAAAUGAGCCACAUCCCUGUUUUAACCAGCUAUAUCUGGAAAGAGGAAUUGGCAAGGAGGCUGGUUAUGCUGUCUGGAAAGAGCAGCUUUUCCCACCAGGCUUGACAGUCUGAGGUGAUGAGGAAGUAAGGUCAGUUUGAUGGUCCAACUUGGAGCUACCUCUCUGGAGGGGAAGCCAGGAUUUCCUGCCGGUAGCGCUCAGCAUCUUACAGAGCAAUACCUGCCCCUGGGGCUGCUGCUAAUCCAGGCAGCAUCUAUUUGUAGCCAAAGAGGAGCCACAGUGAAGAGCAGACUGAUGCUCCCUGUUCCCACAGAGAAGCUGACCCAUGAGAGAUGCCAGUCAUCCAGCAGCUGGGAAAGCUGGGGAGCCAAUUCCUGCUGAAUGGCACUUCUAUUUCCUCCAUAGCAAAUAAACAACCGUGCUCCAGGACUGCACUAGCUCUCAGCUCGCUUGGCUACACUUUGAAGGGCUUGAACUAAAUCUAGGAAGCUCUGAGUAGCUGGGGUCCCCUGGGCUCUACCCUCUUUCUCCAGUUUAAAUUUGGCAACAGAGCCCAGCCAGCUCAAAAGCUUUAGGCAUGCUUGCAAGAUGUUUUGAGGGUACAUAGAAAUGCAAUUACCUGGGGGAAAAUAAAGCUAAAAUGCAUUGCAAAGUACACAUGUGACACACUGUAUGAUUCAUUAAGAGAGAGGAAUUGACAGAUAUGGCUGAUGUUGGUACCUUACUCAGACAGUAGUUCCAAAGAAAUUUGAUUAAACCCUAAAAUAAACAA